rnacentral:rRNA from 1 species
UACGUAGGGGGCAAGCGUUAUCCGGAUUUACUGGGUGUAAAGGGGGCGCAGACGGCGAUGCAAGCCAGGAGUGAAAGCCCGGGGCCCAACCCCGGGACUGCUCUUGGAACUGCGUCGCUGGAGUACGGGAGGGGCAGGCGGAAUUCCUGGUGUAGCGGUGAAAUGCGUAGAUAUCAGGAGGAACACCGGCGGCGAAGGAGGCCUGCUGGACCGUGACUGACGUUGAGGCUCGAGAGCGUGGGGAGCAAACAGG